rnacentral:rRNA from 1 species
AUUGAGCGCUGGCGGCAGGCCUAACACAUGCAAGUCGAGCGGAUGAAGGGAGCUUGCUCCUGGAUUCAGCGGCGGACGGGUGAGUAAUGCCUAGGAAUCUGCCUGGUAGUGGGGGAUAACGUCCGGAAACGGGCGCUAAUACCGCAUACGUCCUGAGGGAGAAAGUGGGGGAUCUUCGGGCCUCACGCUAUCAGAUGAGCCUAGGUCGGAUUAGCUAGUUGGUGGGGUAAAGGCCUACCAAGGCGACGAUCCGUAACUGGUCUGAGAGGAUGAUCAGUCACACUGGAACUGAGACACGGUCCAGACUCCUACGGGAGGCAGCAGUGGGGAAUAUUGGACAAUGGGCGAAAGCCUGAUCCAGCCAUGCCGCGUGUGUGAAGAAGGUCUUCGGAUUGUAAAGCACUUUAAGUUGGGAGGAAGGGCAGUAAGUUAAUACCUUGCUGUUUUGACGUUACCAACAGAAUAAGCACCGGCUAACUUCGUG